UUCACCACAACUUGAUGUUUUGAAUGUAUUUUAUGACACAAAUGUUUGACUACUGAUGUAGAUUAUGGUGAUUGAAGUACAUCAUUUCAAGUGAUUUUAACAGUAUUCGAAUAUUUUUCACCUACGGAAUUCCAGCGCAUGAGACUACUGCCUCUUAUUACAAUUCAAGCCAGCUUGUCUUCCUUAUUCUAACCGGAGCUGUUAUUGCUAUUAGAACUCGAUUGGGGGUUUCAUGCUUGAUUAUAGCUGUA